UUCUGGACUUGCUCUGCAUGUCGGGCUCCCUGCACUUUUGGUGCGGCCAACCGAACAUAGGGCUGUCUCYUCACUCUCCCUCCCGUCAUUUAAAAUGUCGGGGUUGGGAUGCUUGUGAUCGGUUGCCUGUGCGGUUCUACCCUCUUGCGGGUAGCGAAGUCGUCCCUUGAUGGAUAUUUGCUUGCCCUUCUGACAUUUUUUUGUCGUUUGGGCAGCCGAAAUGUUGGCGAAAUCCCUGUGUGUYGUUGCAUGGCCGAAGGCCUUGUUGCUAUCACUUGUAUUUUCGUCGGCUCCCACGGAUACGGUGCCUAGUGCUAGCUCUGCGGGACUUUGCCCCGCRGACUUCGGGAGGUCCCUUGUACGAAUCACUGCUCUUAUACGCCGUUUGUCGUGUUGCCGGUGGCGRCACGCAGAUCGUGUUCUGUUGUGUUGUAGCUAACGACACCUCAGGACAAAGUGUCCGGAGCGUGCUCGCGUGCAAGGGGAAUGCCUCCCGUUCGUAUGUGCAGCGAUUUCCGGUCUGCGUCACGCGAAGGCUCGCCCGUCCGGGUCGGUGCCGGAGCUGACGUGCCGGCUCUCGGUUAAGACGUGC
rnacentral:misc_RNA from 1 species